UGGCUAGACAGUAAAGCAUCUGCCUGAAAUGCAGGUGACCCGGGUUCGAUUCCUGG
rnacentral:tRNA from 1 species